GAUCUUUAUAAAAAAAUAGUUUAAUAAAAAUUAGUUAAAAUUAUUUUUAAAUUAUUUUUUUAUUAUAUUGGGGUAAUAAUAAAAUUUUUGAAAUUUUUAUUUUUUAAAAACAACUAUAAUUGAAAUAAAUGAUCCAAUAGUAUUGAUUAGAAAAUUAAGUUACCUUAGGGAUAACAGCAUAAUGAUUUUUGAGAGUUCUUAUUGAUAAAAUAGUUUGU
rnacentral:rRNA from 1 species